rnacentral:rRNA from 1 species
UAAUUGGAUUAUUAACAAAUCCCAUCACUAUCAAAGAACCCUUAAACAAUACUGAACAAUUCUAUACAACUAUAGAAGAUUUUAUGUUAAAACUAGUAACAAGAAGAAGAACUUCUCCUACAAUGCAAGUAUCAAUCAGACAGGACACACCACUGAUAAUUAACGUCCAUGAGCAAAAAUAGCAACCAAACAAGAAAACCCUACUAAACCAUACGUUAACCUAACACUAGAGCAUUUCAAGAAAGAUUAAAAGAAAAAGAAGGAACUCGGCAAACAUUAACCUCGCCUGUUUACCAAAAACAUCGCCUCUUGAAUAAAUAUAAGAGGUCCAGCCUGCCCAGUGACCAUGUUCAACGGCCGCGGUAUCCUAACCGUGCGAAGGUAGCGUAAUCACUUGUUCUUUAAAUAAGGACUAGUAUGAACGGCACCACGAAGGUUAUACUGUCUCCUCUUUCUAAUCAGUGAAACUAAUCUCCCCGUGAAGAAGCGAGGAUAAUAUUAUAAGACGAGAAGACCCUAUGGAGCUUCAAACUACAAGGCACUUGCUUGUACACAACUAAAUUUCAGAAAACCACUAUCACAUCAGCAAGAUGACCCUUAGUUUUAGGUUGGGGUGACCGCGGAGAAAAAAACAACCUCCACAUUGAAAGGAGCCCUACUCCUUAGCCAAGAGCCACACCUCUAUGCACCAACAAAAAGACAUCAAUUGACCCAAUAUUUUGAUCAACGAACCAAGUUACCCUAGGGAUAACAGCGCAAUCCACUUCAAGAGCCCCUAUCGACAAGUGGGUUUACGACCUCGAUGUUGGAUCAGGGUACCCAGGUGGUGCAGCCGCUACCAAAGGUUCGUUUGUUCAACGAUUAAAACCCU